rnacentral:rRNA from 1 species
UACGUAGGGGGCAAGCGUUGUCCGGAUUUAUUGGGCGUAAAGAGCGUGUAGGCGGCCUUACAGGUCAGCUGUGAAAACUCGAGGCUCAACCUCGAGACGUCGGUUGAAACCGUAAGGCUAGAGUCCGGAAGAGGAGAGUGGAAUUCCCGGUGUAGCGGUGAAAUGCGCAGAUAUCGGGAAGAACACCCGUGGCGAAGGCGGCUCUCUGGGACGGUACUGACGCUGAGGCGCGAAAGCUAGGGGAGCAAACAGG